GGCCCCGUAAUCGGAAUGAGAACAUCCUAAAUCCUUUAACGAGGAUCUAUUGGAGGGCAAGUCUGGUGCCAGCAGCCGCGGUAAUUCCAGCUCCAAUAGCGUAUAUUAAAGUUGUUGCGGUUAAAAAGCUCGUAGUUGGUUCUGCGUGCCACGCUGUCGGUUCACCGCCUGUCGGUGCAACUGGCAUGCCGUGGCAUGUCCUGUCGGUGGCGGAUAGGCUUCGUGGCGCUCCCUGCGCGAUACGUCUCGUAGGUCGUCGCGUCGUCCUUGUACGCCGGCUCAAUCCUACCGCGGUGCUCUUUACCGAGUGUCGAGGUAGGCCGACACAUUUUACUUUGAACAAAUUAGAGUGCUUAAAGCAGGCUCUUAAAUCAGCCUGAAUAGUGGUGCAUGGAAUAAUGGAACAGGACCUUGGUUCUAUUUUGUUGGUUUUAGGAAUCCAAGGUAAUGAUCAAUAAGGACAGGCGGGGGCAUUCGUAUUGCGACGUUAGAGGUGAAAUUCUUGGAUCGUCGCAAGACGCACUAGAGCGAAAGCAUUUGCCAAGUAUGUC
rnacentral:rRNA from 1 species